GAUAUGACUUUAUCUAUCUAUUUAUAUGAGUAUAUGACUGAAGGAGGAACUCCCUUACCAAGGGACUGUCUCUUACUAUGUGUCGGUGCAGUGCCUAGCACACCGGGGCUGUGCACUUGCGUCGGGUUUCUAGGAGAUAACGCAAUAAGUGUCUGUACACGACCCAUUCACACAUGACUAUGAGGCAUCUCAUAUAUGAGGAUUACAGGGAGAACUCAUUUACCAACGCUUUGCAUGAGAGGGUGGGGUAUGCAAAUGAUUAUUUUGCUUCCUUUUAAGAAUAGAAUCUUCCCAAUCUUUAUUACAGCAGCGAUCCCUGCAAGAGUCAAGCCUGUGUGAUUUCCUCUGGGUCUUGGUGCCUGUUUCUAUCUGGCUUCCAAGAGGGAAGAUGAAAUUUCUACUCCUGUCUUUCCUUCUCUUUGCUAUUGCAGCAUGUGUCCGUUCCCAGGUUAAACUGCUGCAGACCGGAGCGGCCCAGGUGAAGCCCUCACAGACCCUGAGACUCACCUGCUCCGUGUCUGGAUUCUCUCUCACGUCUAGCGGGAAUGCAGUGAGCUGGAUUCGACAGCCCCCGGGGAAAGGCCUGGAGUGCUUGUGCCUUGUGUACUGGGAUGAUGACAAACGCUACCACGAGUCCCUCAAAAACCGACUGACCAUCUCGAGGGACACCUCUAAGAGCGAGGUGUAUUUGGAAAUGAGAGGCAUGGAAGCCGGAGACAGCGGCACCUAUUUCUGCGCCAGGAGCUACACAGUGACACAGAGCAAAGCAGCGACUGGUACAAAAAGGGGAAGCAGAUACUGAGCUGUGCAGUGAGGCCACAUUAACUCAGAGCAAUGAGGUUUCCCCAGCUAAACUCCCUGUAAAUGGAAAGAAAAUGCACAGAGGAGGAUAAACGCAAAUGGGCAGCUUCUUAAGAUACAAGAUAGACGAGAUACCGCAGAAAGAGAAAUAGCGAGAUUAGGUGACACACACCAGAUCCCCUGGAAAGAGCAAUCGUGUUGAUUAAAUGUAUAUAAUUUCCCAGUGUAUCACCAUUGAA